CUACGGGCGGCACCAGUUACGAAACCUUUACAAUGCACGAAAGUGUGAUAAGGGGACUCCAAGUGAUUAUACGCGAGUAUAAUCUUUUGCUAAGUGUAAAUAACUUAGAGAAUAAGGGCUGGGCAAGACCCGUGCCAGCCGCCGCGGUAAUACGGGCAGCCCUGGUGGUAUCCGCGAAUAUUGGGCUUAAAGCGUCCGUAGCUGGUUUGGUGUGUCUUUUGUGAAAGCCCAGGGCUUAACCCUGGGAAGUGCAGAAGAAACUGCCAGACUUGGAGGCGGGAGAGGUCAAGGGUACUUCUGGAGUAGUGGUGGAAUGCGAUAAUCCCAGAAGGACCAUCAGUAGCGAAGGCGCUUGACUAGAACGCACUCGACAGUGAGGGACGAAAGCCAGGGGAGCGACAGGGAUUAGAUACCCCAGUAGUC
rnacentral:rRNA from 1 species